rnacentral:lncRNA from 1 species
CAGCCAUGGUUGAGGGGGCAGGCAUGGUAAGAGGAAGAUUUGGUAGUUUUUUUCGUUGUUUUUGUUUUCGUUCUGUGAUGAUGUGGGGGGGACUCUCCAGGGACAUCAUGCGUCACAGAGCAGGGAAGAGGGGGUGGUGAAGGCAGGCAUGAGCAGGUAGGAGAAUGUCACCCUGUCACUGAUGUCAUAGGGCAGAACUGGGGAUCGAGAGAACAGAAGUCAAGGCAUGGAAAGGGUCAGGUGACUGUCUUGCCCUUCUCACCCCAUCUAGCUACCAGGAGAGCUGUUUACAUGGAAUCCAAGUUGCCUGCCAGGGGCAGAGCACGUUUUUCCACAGCUGCUGAGAAAGACGAGUGAGUCAAGACAGAAUAACAAAAAGCCACUUCAAAAACACACCAGAAGAAGUACGAAGCUGAGACAAUCACAGGUUUGAAACAUCCCCUCCUCCCAAAGCCCUGACUAGAGAGUGUAAAAACAAGUCUCAAGGGAGCCUCUGGGCCCUGCAGGUUUCGAGCCUCCUCGUGGUUGCUGACUUGAGAACUGGGCCUGUCCCUGUACUUCUGAGAGGAGCCAGGAGUUGAUGUUGUGGGGGCUCAGAAACCUGAGUUCUGAGAACUGUGGGACUGAGAGGGGGACAGCCCCUAGGUUCUCAGUGUCUCUGGGAAGCUGAGUGGUGGUGGUGGUGGUGGGGCUGUGGGAAAAGGCAGGGCCAGGCUGGAUGGGCAAAGGUGUAGAGACUCCUCCUGUCUGGAAAACAGCUAUGGUAAAGAAGUGGAGUCCUGUCUUAUCUCCAGCCUCUGAGGAACUUACAGCCCCAGAAGGCAAGGCAUCCACCCAUGUAGCCUGUCAGGAAUCUAAGGGUAUAAGGUCACUCAUAUCCACAAAAUUCUUCCUCUGGGACCUAAUGCUUCUCUCUCCAACAGACAAUAGAGCCCAUUGAAGAGGAGCCUGGAGUUGGAG